CACGCUGCGAGGAAGUAGAAGAGGAACCCAGAGAAUCCUCCGGAAAGGCCGAUUGCCCAGAAGGUUAUAAGACAGAAGCUGAGGGAAAGGACGAUUAAUGCUGGGAUUGAGAUGAAAGAGCGAGCGAGAACGUAUGAAGAACGUCGAUAAGCAUCGUAAGCAGUUUCCCUCACGAAAAUAAAUCUUUCUUUGAUGAACUCUAUGGUUUCCGUUGUGCAGGUGAAGAAACCGGUGCUUAUGGAAAUUGCUAAGCAUCCUAAUCUACCUUGGGCUCCUCUUGGGGGAAUCAUCAACCUGCCAAAACAUGGUGCCUAGUACAAGUCUGGUGAUGAUUAUCAUCGCUAACCGGAGUUUAUUACUAGCCUUUUGAGGGAGGGUGAAUCUACCAGGGAUGACCUAGAGAAGCGGUUGGCCCGACCCGACUCACACAAAAAUUUAAGGGUAAACUACUAUAAAGG
rnacentral:lncRNA from 1 species